CAAACAUACAAUCACAAAUACAGCCGCCUGAGCAAGAAUGCAUCUAGAGACUGACCAUCAAGUAAAGGAAAAUUCUUACACUCAUUCUCUGCUGGGAAACUAUUUCAUUUAUUGCUGUGGCCUUUCUUUCUGGUGCUUAUUAACCAAUAUUCUAAAAUUAGUUUGGUAUCAUAGUCUGUUUAUAUCUCUACAGUCAUGUUUGGUCACAGACUGUGUAUCCAUGUUCUGCCUUCCCAAGUGAUUAUACUUCCAUAAAUCAUUUGGCAUAAAUAAUGUUGCCAUUGAAGAGCUGUUGAUCUUUGGACUCAUCCUCCUGUAGAUGUGUCUAUUGUGGUGCAGAGGCGAUGUUCUUCUGUUCUAUGUGGUUGUCUUUGGUGCUUGAUCAACAGGAUUCCUUCCAUAGCUGGUAAGGCUGGACUACUAGUUGUGUUGCCUCAGCCUUACACAGGCUAUGGCACUCACCAAAACAGAAUAUUUCAUUUUGAAGGGCCUUUUGAAGGAGUUGCUUUCCAGUGGGUAUUCCAUUUGUAUUUUUUAUUUUUUUAAAUGGAGGAAGGAGCGCGACGCAAGACAGUUUGGGCAAUAGCGGCAUAAAAAGAUUAUUUCCUGGUCACCAUUGGUGAGUGUGAGUGUACUAAACCACCAGGAAACCAGCAGGAGAGAGUCUGAUGUUUUGAAAAGCUCUUUGAAAAUGAAAACCAAGGCGUGUGUUAAGACAGACAAAACUUCAGUCUAUAUACAUCCUCUCCACUCUCAGGAUGCUGCUUUUUCAGUAGCGCUAAAUCAAAGCGCUAAUAUAUUUCAUGCUGUAUUAUUGCAUCAAUGCAGCUCCUUUUUGCAGGAUCACCAGAUACUUUUUAAUUUUGCAUAUUUAUUAUCCAAUUUUUCAUGCUUGUCUGGUGAAACAUAAAACUUUGUCAGCGAGCACCAUGCUGCUCCCACUGCCAAACAAAUCUCAUAACGAACAGUUAAGGCACAGGAUAAAAUUGCGGUAUGAGGGUAGUAAUUUAAUAGGGAGUCAAUUGGAACUGAUGGCAGAGACUGUAGUAUUGCGCUGGCACUGAAGGACUUGCAGCUCGAAGUGAGCAGUAGUCAGUUACAGAUUGUUUGUUCAAAGAGGGGACUUCUCAAGUGAAUGUGGUAAUUCUUUCUCUCUUUUUUCUUUUUUUUUUUAAGUAGUGCCCCAUUAAAACAACUGCCAUGAAAUUGAAUAGAGUGUUUAUGUGCUGCUUAGUGGGCCUAAAGCCAGCCCUGUCACCUUGGGCUUGUCAACAUCUCUCCUUGUCAUUUCCUUUAACCAAAUGCCCUCUCGGAUGUCUGUCCAUUUAUUAAAAACCCAUAAACCAAUUUCCCCACAACCCCCAAAUACACACACAUACUCACAGAUCCUGUUCCCUCUUUCAUAUUUGGCAGUUAAGUCACUGUUGCGAUACACUGGUAUCCCUAGAGCGCUUUUUUUUUUCUCCAUUGAGACUCUUUUUUUGUGUACUCUGCUGGUUGAACACAGAAAGAGCCUUUUAAUCCAAGCUAUUAUCAGAUCUCAGUGAAGGCACACAAUUAAUUUUAGGCCAGAUCAUGAUUGCAUAGGAAUGCACAUUGAGGGCUUUUAUUUAUUAUUAUUAUUAUUAUUUAAAUGAAUCUGAAGCGCAUAGGGAAAUAUCCAGAUGUACAUUCGUCCGAAUGAAAACAAAUGUACGUGCUGUUAAGCUUGCAUAAGACUUGCAAACUUCAGUAAAAGAUGGGUCAGCACAAAGCAUCAAUACAAUAUCUUGUCCUGUUCCUUUGAUGCAUACAAGGUGCUGAAGGCCUAACUGUGAGAUAACCUCUGGUAGACAUGUAAUUGAUUAGUUGUAUAGAUUCUAAAAAGGUCUCUGCUUCCAGCUGCUCAAAUGUAAAGAUUAGUUCAUUUUCUCUGUAUUCUGUUUGCCUCCGUCUUUUUUUACUGUUUGUUGAACGAAACCAGAAAAUUGAAGAUUGUAUUGAAGGCUUCUGGGAAAUUGAGAUGGGUAUUUAUGACUAUUUUCUCUCUAUUUCUGCAAUCACCUUCUUUCAUACAAUACAUUUAACUCUGAUCUAUACUGCUGUAUGCUGCUGCAUACUUACCAAAAAGACGUUUUAUACUGCAUUGACUGUCUGCAUAGGCACACCUGUUCAUACCUUUGCCUUUGCGUACAGUCCUUUGCAACCAUGCACAUGCCGAAAAUUUAAACUUUGGCGUAAAUGCAUUGUGCAAAUGAAAAACCCGGCCUUUCGUGUCCUCAAUAACCCUGCACAGUGGUGUCCUAACUACUGGGUGCUGCACAGCUGCUCCGAGCUGGCAUGACAUCUAGAUGGUUCUGUGGCUGCAGCUCUGCCAACGCUCAGACAUUAAGAGUUUUGUCACACAGCAACCCACCCAUGCAAAACUAAUUUAAGUGUAAUAUCUAUUUAAAGCACCAUUUUAGGGCUGCAAGUAAUGAUUAUUUUCAGUAUGGAUUAAUCUCUUAAUUCUUUUUUAUGAUGAUAGUGAGAAUAAUUUUUUUUAAAAUAACAAUAAUAAAAUGGUAAAAAAAAAAAAGGUUCAGCUGGAAGUUCAAAGUGAUCAAGGUCAAAUUGCCUCUUUUAUCUGGACAGCAGUUCAAGAUAUUCAAUUUGCAUUGAUACAAGAUGGAGAAAAUCAGCAAAUCCUCACAGAAGCAGGUCGAUUAAUUUAUUAGUAACAUUUUACAUAUUAUGGCAAGACAACAGUCAACGCAGUAGUUCAACAAGGGCUUUUCCUUUUUUCUUAACUGAUGAUACCAGACCAUAAUAACAGUAUUAGAAGUAGUAGAAGCCUAGAUUAUAUUUUCAUCACUGUAUGGCUUAGUAAAUAAAUGGUUAAGAGUCAGUGAAGCAUUUUGUAAAGGUUGUUAUCCUCUGAUGAAUAGAGUUUUGGGACUUGAGCUAUUAUUAGCUUUAGAGAGGGAGUAGCCAAGACAUGGUGUCAACUUCUUAAUUCAAAAGAUUGUACACCUGGUGUCCAGCUUUUCCGGCAUGCACACAUCUCUGUAAAGCUGGCCUUUUGUACCGCUUAUUAACUGGCCGUCAGAUGCGGUGAGUGUGCAGACAGUGAGAUAGGCCGCAGACGCACAUCCGGCUGCUGGCAGCCAAUUAAAAUUUCCUGUGAGUCACAUUUACCUCGCAUAUCUUUCAGUCAAGGGUGUGUGUGUGUGUGUGUGUGUGUGUGUGUGUGUGUGUGUGUGUGUGUGUGUGUGUGUGUGUGUGUGUGUGUGUGUGUGUGUGUGUGUGUGUGUGUGUGUGUGUGUGUGUGUGUGUGUGUGUGUGUGUGUGUGUGUGUGUGUGUGUGUGUGUGUGUGUGUGUGUGUGGCAAGCUGUUUUUAUAUGUAACCCGCAUGUUGUUUUUGAGCGUGGAUGUAUAAAAUAAAUGAAGAAUGAUGUGUCUUUCAGCAUGAGAGAUCAUUAAGGCAGGGCUCUGGAGGAACAUGCCAUCUUUCUGUUUCCUGAGGGAUCCAUUCUGGCAGCCACCAGCUAUACUUGGAUCUAAAUAUAUUCAACCCUCUCGUUGACAAAGGGAACCAUGGGCAGAAAUUGCUGUAAGCAUAGAGAAAAAGUUUUCCAGAUUCCAGAUCCGGCUGGCGAAGAAUCAGAAUGGCUCGCCAAGGCCGGUCCGCAAUACAGUCAUUGGUUCUUUAAUCAUGAUUGGAGACGGCACUUCCCACAGCACCACACACGGGUUCUGUUGGGCAGCAGCUUGUGCACCCGGGAUACCUCAUGGACCUCGACAAAGGUCACUUACUGUAACUUCUCAACCAUGCGAUUGCUCUGUCCACCCCUGUAUACACAUCUGUCCUUCUGAACAGAACUGUCCAAGACAACGCCCCUGGCAUGAAUUGGCUGAUGUGGUCAAGAUGAAGUCACAGUAUUUAGAAAAGCCCCACAGGACUGCUCCAAAGUCCUUGUCUGCUUGUCAUCAGUAAAAGUAAAUCAUGUCAUGUCAAAUUAUGCAUUUUCUAUUUUACUAGAGGCUUGUGGACAAAUUGGAUUGUUUUUUAUCUCUAGGGUUGUCACUUUUUUAGGAAGUCAUUUGAAAUUAGUUUGAACUUAAAAUGUAUUUUUAUAUGCUGUAUGAAUGAAUUCAAAUGCAAUUCGUAUAGCAUGUUUAUGAGAUUCUGAUGAGAGUCCAGAGGAUAAGUGUGGUGGUAAGUAGUCAGACAAGGUUGUACAGUUGGCAUUAGUCCACUCGUUUCUGAAGCCUCCGCUGCCUUACCUGGGUGGCAGCUAGUGGAUGAGCCCUCAGAUUCAUUGACGAGGAAGGUGGAUGCAAAGUCGGCAAACAGCCAUAUCUUUGUUGGUAAUAUUACCAUCUAUGCUGCACUUACACACACUGCUUCUCAGAUGCUUCGAUGUUGUGAUUAUCCAAUCGGCACAGCUUUGCUCCUCCCAUUUUUAUUUAUUUGCUUAGUUUACUGAUCAACAGAGCACACAAUAGAUCAAGCUGAAGUUUAAGAGCCUCUGCUGGAGCAUGAGGCCAACUACAUCAAACAGUCUCUUGUGCUUACAGUUCUAAUAUUUCAUUUUGUCCCUUGUUUGAAUUUUAAAUAAAACAUGACAGCCUAAUCGCCUCCUGAUCGCUGUUUUAUAAUGCUGGAAGUGAGGUAUGAACACUGCAUUUGUGAAUUACUGUACCAACCUUACAAUCGAGAGUUGAAAGUACUUCUCUUCCUUCUUUUUCUGAAUGAUGAAGGGUCAACUUCUCAACACUAAUACUUUUACUAAAAGGUAACUGCAAAAGAUGAAGUGGGCCAACAGGCUGUCACUGUAAGCAGUGGUAUUAUCUUCUGGGGAAAGAAGUUGUUUUUAUAGCCUCUGUUGUGUUGGUAUCUCUUAGUUACUCUCUCAGCACAAAGAUCAGUAUGUCAUUUUUCUACUUGUCUUCCCAUUUCUGCCUUCACUCUCUCUCUGUAUUAUUGGACUCAUCCCACAUAUUUUUGUUCGUUUCAACCACAGGGAGUAAGUUAGUCGGGGCAUGUCCUCUUAGCAAGUCUGUGCUAGCCUGUGAGUUUGCAAGCCCCAUCUGCUCCUAUAAAAGUCAUACUUCAUCCGAAGUCUUUUGAGUAUCAAACACACUAUCGACAUUGUAGAUUUCUCCUUCAUGAACACUGACCUUGGAUUCAUGCGUGUCAUGUCAAGCAUAAUUCACAUCUCAGCUGUCCACCUCUAUGCUUAGUGUGUGGCCUUGUUUACCCAGCAUGCACCUGUCUGGCAGGGUGAAGGCAGUCAGGAAGACACACUGUGUUGACUUUUGUGAGGUAUGAAGGCUUUUCAUGCAAAGAAAAUGGGUUGAAAAAUGUGAAUCCAUGUGUUAAAAUGGCUGUAUAAUUGGAUUUUUCUUUUAAAUUGCAUUCUAUUGGUAAUCCUGUAAGCAGUGAGUGGUACAAAAGCACAGACUGACUGUAUGUUAGGAACACUGUGGCUUGGUGAGCCAGUGAGAUUACUCCAGUGAGUAUCCCUGCACAACAAUGAACAUGUGGGCUGCAAACACAAAGAUAAACUUAAGUUCUAUGAUCACAAAGCUCCUUCAGAUGCAGAAGCAUCAUAUUAUUUACACUGUGUUCGUAAUAGUUUAAUAGAAUGCAUUUAGACUAAGUCCCGAUGACCAGAAGGGAAUUUAAGAGGCAUUACCAGUCCUAAUAUUUUAAACAAUGGCUGCUUUGCUUGUGAGUUGCAGAUACUGACCAAACCUGUCAGAAUUAUCACAUGUCAAAGCAGUUUUCUAAUCUCAUCAGACAAGUCUAAUGAGUAAAAUCAUGUCAAAGUGCUUGCCAUUCCAUUAUUGAUAUUACCAUGAUGAAUAUUUUGGAGCAGUGCCGAUUCUGCCAUGGUAACGUUUUUUCUCCAGCUCACUGUCUUCUCUUAAAUGUGUGUAAACUUCCUCCCUCAAUAGAUGUUUCUCUUGGCCUGCGCUGCAGCUGAAGUCUCUGUGACUGCACCGCUGCCUGGAUGUCAGCCCUCGUAGUGAUGCAAGCAAUUUGGCUGAACCUGUUCAACCCUCAAAAACACAUGCAGGAGGAGUCACUUAAGGACUUGCAGUGCACAAGUGCACCAAUAUCUACAUAUACAUAUAAAUACACAUCUGUCCGAGUCACAAACAAAGGCAGAAUUUAAUGGAUGGUUGAUAGAGGAGGUGGAGAUGAAGGAGGGGGGGUGCUUAAAGAGGAAUGUACAGCAGCUGUUCUGAUUCUUGGAAGUGAUGCAGGUUGCAAUGUCUGCGUGUUCUGAGUGUUCUGGCGUCUGUUGACUCACUGUGCAGAUAAAACCUCCUUAUCGAAGCUCUGCCUACCCCCUCACUCUCUUAAUGGUUUCAAGCUGUAAUGUGUGUCCCAAGCCAAAGAUGGCAUGUAAAUACAGUGUGCGGGAGUCAGGUAGGACACCGUACGCUCGGAUAUGUUUGUUUGUCAUGCACUGAGGUUGAAAAAGACAUGAGAAGCAUAAGGACUCCGGGAGCCGCCAGUGUUUUCUGCUCAGUGUCAAGCUCAACAUGUUCUCUUCUUGACGGCUGUGGUUGUUAUUGUUUUUAAUACCACCUACCGUGGUAUAAUUAUAUGGGGUGUCAUUGGAAGUUGCCAUAAAGAGACUUUAGGAGAGGAGUGCACCAUUGGCUGCUGGAAAAUAUUCCAAAAUUGCUACCACACAUUAAUAUGGAACACAAUCAUUAAAAAUUAUACUUAAAAAAAACAUUUAAUUGUCUGUAUUCAUGCAAAACUGACCCUGGCUUCCUCAGAUGGAAACAAUCCUUUUGAUAAUGAAUGAAAAAAGACUGAAGAAGUUUCUUUGCUUUAAACAUUUAAACCAUAACUGAAUAAUGAUGAUAAUGAUAAUGAUAAUGAUAAUAAUAAUAAUAAUAAUAAAGCAGUCUGGCUGUUACUUUGAGUGGGAAAACCAAACAAGUAAUAUCAGAGUUUUACCCCCAACUACCCUCAACCUCUUCUGAACAUGUUUUGGAAAAUUUGAUCUAAUAUCAAAAUGUUCGAGUGUCAGUAUCAUUGUGGUUAAGUGAGCUUUCAAUUUGAUGAUCAGUUUUCCCUAUGGCAAGAAUCUGCCGGGGUUUUAACUUUCUUCCCAGUUUUGACACAAGAUUGUUCUGCCACAUCUGGCGGUGGCGUUUUUAAUAACUCCAUAAUAAAAAUCAAAAGUUUUGCUCCGUUCACAAGAGACCCUGAGCUCAGUUACAGAGUAAAUGAUGAUGAUGUCAGCUUAUUAACGAUUCCACAACUUGAAGCAUUUAGUUUUUGUCAGGUGGUCAGUGGAAAAAAUAAACUUAUUUUUUUUUGCAUUUUGAUUGUGCAGAAGCCAGACAAAAGUGACAAAUUUAUAUUUUACAAGGACUGGACACUUUCCAUAUCCCACCACUUAAGAAGUCUGCUUUGACAUCUACCACUUGUAGCAGCCUCAUUAUCCCUGUGUUUCAGCCACAAUCAUGUUGAGUUAUGAAAAUGCAUGGAGCCCAUCCAGUGAAGCCAGGUUUCUGAACGGCCACAUGGAAAUUUGUUGAAACAAGUCCGCUGGCAAAUGCUGCUUCAGAGCAUGCUUAAUUGUUCCUAUUUUGCCUGUUGCAUGUGAACAUGGCACAGCAGGUUGUGUUUAAGUUGUCACCACACUGAUGAUGCGGAAACCCGACCUUGAAACUUGUUCACUGAGCGUACCCCACCAGUAUGCAUGCGGCUCUCCUCUUCAUUUAAGAUAUUGCCGUGUCUGAACCCCGGCGACAUCACUUCUUAUCCUUGUUCCAGCAGCAGUUUCCUAUCAGAUUUGCAUUUCCGUGAAAGCCAACUGAAGAACACACAGUAGAAAUGAUGGCCCAUUCUUUUUUUGCUUCAUUUCCUUACUAGAAAGAUGAGCCUUGAGCUUGUCAUUAUGAUAAUGAUGUAGAACAGAAAAUCACGGCUACCAACAGGUGGCCUCCAGAUGAAGGCCCAGGACCUGCCUGUUUCUGCUGUGUUUAGGAUCGGUGCUAUUAUUAAGAAGGGCUUGUUUCCACUGUUUUUUAGAGUAGUGUUAUUCAAAUAAGAGCAAGGCUAUAGGAAAAAUUAGCUGGAAAACUAUCUGGACAGUAGUAAUGGCACAUACUGUAAGCAGGGUGAGUAAAUGAGCCUCGGUGAAAUUAUAUCCAUAUGUGUUUCUGAUACUUCUUAAACUUCUCUUCUGCAAUAGUUGACGAGAAUGAUGAAAUGAUCAUAGACUAUCGCUACCAAGAACAACAAAAAGUAGUAAUGUUAAAGCAAUAAAAACAUACAAAUAACAGAAUAAAUCAUUGUUUUAAUGUGAAUGUGCUAAUUAUGUUAGACAACAUUGCAGGUAAGAGUUUUAUUCAUUUUAUUCUCUUUUUAGUGUUGCAUCUGAAUCAUACCACAAAAAAAAGGCCAAAUACAUAAUUUAAUAAAUGAGCCUUUUUUUCUUUUGCUUUUGGAAAACGCAGUGAUUUCCAACCAGGAGGCAUUGUAGAAUGACUGUGGUGUCUCUCAGCUAAUUAAAAGAAUAGAAAAGAUGAUCUCUCAUUCAAAUUAAAUGUAAAAAGCUAAGCAUUCAGGAUGGACUGAAACCCAAAGGUGGUGUGAGACGCAUUCUAGCCAGAUGUUGGAAAGGUAAAUGCAGAAGUCUCUCCAAGACGCAUACGGUGGAAAUAUCAACUCACAUGUCUGUUUUUCUUAAUGCAUCCAUGGUCUGUCUCCUCUGGCCUUUUCAUAACGACGGCUAACAUUACAUUAAAAUUAGUCAUUGUUCUCCGUUUCAUCAAAGUAACAUGGAUAAAUGGCGAGUACAGCUCACAAUAUGAUCAAACACAAGGUGCACCGUGUUGCUGUGGCAUUUAUCUGAUCCCUGAUCAGUUCAACUGCAGAUCAACCAUCUGUGUGGGUGAGAGAGUAGUGUGUGUUGUAAACUAACGUUAGCUAAUAGUAUAUAUCCUACUAUAGGUACUGUAGAUAUAGUAGGAUACAGACAUUGUAUUUGUCUUGCUAAUUUAGCCUUAUUUUUUCUUAUGCAUUGAUUUUACUCCCCUGAUUCUAGUAGUUGUAAUAGUUAUAUUAUUGUUCCAGUACUAAAUAUAUAAGUGAGCAAUGUGUAUUCACUUUUUUGAGUAAUUUAAUGCUAAUAAGAGACAAACAGACGGUAAGAGAAAAAAGUAGUAGUGUCAUAAAGUUGAGCGCUAACCAUUUGCAAACACACUCAUGUGCGUGUCAAGGAUCUCAUGACACCCAUUGGUGAUUGGCCAUUAUGUCUUAGCAAUAACUGCUAUUAACAUGUCAAAUGUUUGAAAAUUCAACAAAUGAGAAUUCCAAAUAGAGAACAUUAUUAGUCUGUAGCAUGUUGGAAAUUAUGCAGGAAAAUGAUUUUUUGACAGGAUGGGAACCCCUGCUGUGUGCCAGAGGAUUGUUCCCAGGAAAAACAUACCAGACACUGCGUGUUUAGAACAGCAGAUGUAAAACCUUUGAUGAACUGGCUGUUCAUUCAAUCAGAAUUUAUUUAUUUUUGUUAUAUCAGUUGGUGGGAGAUUAAUGAAACAAAAUGUCAUGCAAUAUUAUUGCGAGCCUACAUAUUAUUUAGAUUCAGGUGGUGGAUUUUUCCCUUUCUUUGGUGAGACCUGGCCAGAUUUGACACCCAGCGCAGUGGUGAGCAGACUCUUACUUUAUCUGAAUCUGUGGUCUGAAGCAGGGCCAGGGAUGGGGCGGACGUCUGCUAGCGAUUAGCACACAGACGGACCGGGCUCAUGCCUGUGUUUCCCUUUCGGUUGAGGGGUCUCAGCCAGUAUCUGCUCACUGGCCCACCACAACACUCUUAAUAUUUUUGGCCCACUGUCACACACACACACACACACACACACACACACACACACACACACACACACACACACACACACACACACACACACACACACACAUGCACUGGAAACAAUCAAAGUAGAAGAAAAUGGCACAGGAAGAAAGUGGCCAGAGGUUUGGGCCCCACUCCCCGCAUUCUUAUUAUUGUAGCCCAUGUCUGUAAUUACAAUGUUAACACUGCGCUCUGUGGACCGAACCAGCGGGACUUUGUGGAGAGAGAGAAAACGUGGGGCAGGAGAGAGCCGGAUAAAGAUUGGAUUCAGGAAAGGGGGGAUUUGAGGUGGGGGGAGGGGGGCCUUUGGCCAAUGUGCGUGUGUUGUGACUCUGUCAUGUGUGGUGCUGCAGCAGUGUUUCGGUGGUUAUAUCAGUGGAAAAUUACUCAUGGGUGUUUUUCGUUGACUGGUCCAGCUCCUCUUUCUCUCUCCUGGUUGUCGCUGGUGAAAAGUAUGGCGUAAUGCAACACUGCGAAAUCGAUCCUUGACUUCGGUUAAAGCAUUUGGGUAAUAUAUCUAAAUCAGAAGUGUAAAUUGUUGAAGGCCAUUUGUGGUUUACCAAAUAAUUUUAAGGUAUAGUAAUCUCCCCUCUGUGCCUCCUCUAAUCACCCUUCCUCCCCCCACCCCCCACUUUACUGUCUGCUACUGACUUCUUUUCCAUUCUUCCUCCUGGCAGUAGGUAGUGCUCACAUUCCACAGCUAGGCACUGGAGAUUUCUCAAAUUCUUCCCAGUGUCACUCACCAGUGAAAAGUGGCCAAAUCCACACUUGACUCAUUGAAAAAUCAUAUAGGCUCAUAGUUCUGACUCUGAGAUAUAAAGGCGCAUUGUGAAUAUUAGCCGCGGUUGUUCUGUUGCUUUUGAACGAGACAGACUUGCCAGUGUUGUGUCUCCCAUACAGAUCAAACACAUGAGAUUAAUUACCAGAGACGGCUGAAAAUGGGUGCACAAUACAAAUGAGGAAGGGAAAUCGCACUCUCCUGUUCCAUCUCUCCCAUCCAGACACUAUUGGCUAAACACUAAUUCGGUACCAUAUAAUAAUGAUGAUGAUGAUGACAAUUUUUGUUAUGAGACGAGCCCUCUAAAAGCAAAAGGCACUUUAGAUUGGACCGCUUUUUGCUUUUUUAGGCCAGGUCGUCAGUUUUCCACUGGAGAGGACGGUUUAGUUAAAGAGCCUUGGCCAGAGGUGUGGGCAGAUUGAGAUCAUCGAGGUCAGCCUCUAGGCCGAUAGCAGGACUGAGUGGAAAAGGCAUGAGUGUCUGAAGUCACAAGGGCACAAAGACAUCCAAGAGGUCCGCUCUGAUACAACACACACCACUAGAUAGUCUUUUGCCCAUGGAUUCUCCAGGUCCUUUAAAAGUCAGUUAUAAAUCAUGAAGUAAGUCACAGAAAUUGAAUCCAAACCAAAAAGUAAUAAAAAGGUUUCAUCAAUCUUUUCUUUUGAAACAGCUCUUAACAUUAAUAGAAAACACAUUUACUGGAGUGUUUUUUCUUGCAAUACUUAGAAAUUCCCUUUCAGACGUGAUUUUCAUUUGUUAAAGAUUAUUUAUGUUCAGUAAUUUCCUUGUAUUUCUUACAUUUGAACACUUGAACUUUGACUGUGUUCAGUUUUGAAGUUUUGACAUCUUGAGUUUACAGUUUGGCCAACACAGAGUCUUUUAACUUCAGGAAAACUAACUUCAGCAACUUCAGUAUAAAACACAUCUGAAAAACAUAUAUUCAUUUUUCAAAAAAAUUAAACUAUUGUUUUUGGACUGGUUGGGUGUUUCCAGUGGAUGGUAUCUGGGGAUAUUUUAGAGUCGGCAUGGCUAGCAGAUUUGCUGUCAACCUUGUUGUGGUGCCAGCUAGGCUAACUAGUAGGGAUGUAACGAUACACUCAACUCACGAUUCGAUGCGGUUUACGAUUUUUUGUUCACGAUACGAUUUUCUCACAAUUGUUUUUUUUUUUUAUCAAAAUGAGCUACAGACAAAUUAUGACCAAAUAAAAUAAUCUUUUAUUCGUAGGAAUAAACUCUGUAAAACAGUUUGUGUCCUCUUAUAAAAAGUGCAACUUACAUGGUCAUCUUAAACAACAAAAUACAUGAAAAAUAUCUCCUUCUUUAGAAACAACCUCACAAGUAAACUGGUGUUAACUGGUGUAAUUCAAUAUCUUAAAUAACAAAAGAAUAUAAAAUCUUGACCAAAAAAAGAGGUCCUUUCUUAACAGAAACACUGUUAAACACUGUUUUUGUGUCUUGUGAAAAAAAAGUGCAACUGAAGUAGUUAUUCACUUAAACAAUAAAGAAUAACUGGAUUUUUAAAAACAAAUCCCACAUCAAAAUAAUAACAUCAAAACAUAAAAUCUCUUCAAAUAAACUAAGACUGGCUUGUGUAGCUUGAAACUUUCAGGUUUCUCUUGAGGAAAAUCAACAUGUCAACAUUCUCAGGCCGAAGCUGAGAUCUUUGUGAGGUUACAACAUCCCCUGCGGUCGAGAAGACCCUUCGACUAGGGACAGAGGUGGCUGGUGUGGUGAGGUAAGCCUUUGCUAGAGGUGAAAGCAGUGGGUAAAACUUACUGUUCUCCUUCCACCAUUUGAGUGGGCAGCUUGUGAGGGAAAUAGACAUUUCACUUCUGUACCUGACAAUUUCUGCUUCAAUCCCACACAUGUGAUUGGUCUGUGCUGCCCCUACACUUUCUGUGAAACUGAAAGUCCCUUCUAGGAGAUCUUCCAGUGCAGUCUUCUUGAGAGGUGGUUGUUGAAGGUCUGCAUCCACUAUGUCUGCCUGGUCAGCAGGCAGAGCCAGAAAUCUUUUCUCUGAAAUCUUUUCCAAUAAAAUAACCAAUUGCCCUGGUCAUUUCUUGCGCUCUUGCGUUGUUAUGGGGGAGAGGAGAUGCAAAGCUUCUCGUCAGGGUGGUUUGCCCCCUCUGCAAUUUUUGCUCACGAGGUGGUGUAACGUUACUUUGCUUCUCACUGUGGUGGCGGCUAAUAUGCUGCUGCAUGUUGCUUGUGUUGCCGGUAUAUGUUAGCAGUCUCUUGCAAUAUUUACAUGCCGUUUGGUUUUGUCUGUCCAUUUCUCACCGGUUGUAUUUGUGUAUAUGGGGAAUCCAAAAUGCCGCCACACAGGUGAUUUAAAACCGCUCGGUGCGUCCUCUAUUUCAAAGUUGUUGCCUACCGUCGCCAUGUCUUCCCUCGUUCUGUGCCCCGUACCUACGUAGGGACGUAAGUCACGUGACUUGACGUCCUACGUUGAACAAAUGAAUCACCAACCAGUGACUUUUUUUUUUAAGAUAACGUAACCUAUUUCUGGGAAAAAAAAAAAAAGAACGCAUCCUACUUCUCUCGCAUCCGCGAUUAAUUUUUUCUGUCAACCGGUGCGAAUCGUCACACAUUUGUACCGAUUUUGUUAUCGUGUCACGAUGCAUCGUUACAUCCCUACUAACUAGCUUCCACUUGGAAAUUUGAGGCUUGUUAACCUAGUUUGCUAACGUUAGCACUGAUUCCCACAUCACCUGCAUAACAACACAGCUGCUGCACUGGUGGCGUCCAUGUUCUUUCCGACUCGUAAUGCCCAAAGAAAAAUGGAAUGCUAUAAGUGGUACAAGCCAGGAAAUUACGUCACGUUCUCGCGGCAGAGCAACUCGGGCGGGGGAUUUACGACACAAAUGGAUAGCACCAUGAGUAUUGUGUUCGUCCCACAUUUUUCGAAGGAGGCAAGUCUUGCUAGCGUUAAUGGCCUUUCUUUUAUGGUUCUAACUGUAGUGACGGCAAAUGACCAGACUGCCAGAACUCACAGCAACACAGUGCUGUAACCUCGACGCUCUGUACGUUACACAGUGAUAUGAAUCAGCACACAAAGUAAUAAAGGUAGGGUUGGAGAGUAAUGUGGAGAUUGCUCAAAGGACAGAUGGGACUAAGCAACAGCUAACAGUGUGGACCCCUGCAGCUGGUUGACUGCCUGUGUGACCAUUUAGAAUUGAAGCAAUAUUACAAAUUAUUUUUACUGACAGUCCACGCAAAUUUUACCCCUAACUAAGUUACAUUACCGACAUCAUCAAUUGGUAACCAUGAUGAAUAAACAAGAAUUCCAGAUAUGUCAGACUAAAUUAUUUUGACUGGUGUGUGACUGUCACAUUGACUUCUAUACAACUGAACGGCUUAUGUAUGUUUGUAAAAGAGACAGUAGAUUUAGGACAUGGAUGACUUUUCUCAUUUUGCACAGUAUUGAUGCGAGCCAGAUGCAGCCGUCUCCGUGCUCCUGUAGGAAUGUCACGGGUACUGGGACGCAUUAAACAUGUUUCCUGUUGUGGAAGUUUUGUAAAGUUCUGCAGCAGGGGGUUUGUGUUAGUUUCCUUCUUCAUAGCUUCCUCGUAUUCUGUUAUAUCUUGUGGUGACUUUUAAGGUGGUUUAAUGAAAUUGUGGUGCUGUCUUGUGACACCACCAUAAAGCUCCACUUUUUGUCUAGUAUUUGUUUUUGCUUUCAUAAAACUUCAAGACAGUGGAAUGAACUCUUUUUUUUUCAUUAUCCCACACUGUUUUGAUUAUAGUACGUGGGUAGGAGAUGUUUGCUUUUUUGAGCCAUGCAAAUGCUGCAAAAUCAAAUCAGUUUCUGACGUGACAGUUAUACAAUAAGAAGAGGACUUAAUAUCAUUUUUACACUAAUCUAAGUUCUCACACAACACUGCCAAAGACGACUGUUAUCGAAAUGAUUAUUAAAUAAUUCAAUACCCCAUCUCCGUCAUAAGUACAGUAUGAUGCAUGGCCUAAACAGGACUUACAACAACAACUUGCAUGUAGAGUCGGAUUGUGCUUUCACAGUCACUUACUUUUGUUUGUUUAACGUGGUUUCCAUUCUAAGUCAUAAAUUCCAAUCUGUUUACUUCAAAUAUACUACUACUACAGUGUAGCCUGCUGAGUAAGAACCCUCCUUACAAAAAACAGUUUGGAUAUUCCAUCCAGAGGAACCACCCCUUUUGUUAUGUUAUACACAAUUUUAUAGGACCUUUAAAUCCACUGAUUGAUUUUUACUAGCUUACUGUCUACUCAUACAUGCAGCCGUCUGUGGGAUGCUCACAAAGAGCUGUCAUUGAGUUGGAGUGUGUACAGUAGUAGUAGUAGUAGUGUGUCUGUUUGUACACACUAAUGCACAGUCGGCGGUACAGUGUGGCUGCAGGGCACAAAGGUAGAGUGUGUGUCUGUGUGUCUGUCUGUCAGGGAGUAAUUGAGAUGAAUCGGUUUUAAUGGGUCUUUAUGGGAUGUUUGGAGUUAUUUCUGUCUGAGGUCUCCUCUGGCGUCCUGGCUCCUCUGGAGGAUGGCUUGGCCUCCACCCAGUGCUGAGGCUGUUCUACACUUUCUCCUCUGCGCUUUCAUUCUUGUGCUCUCUCACCCUCCCUCUCUCACUGGUUCUCACUUUGCCUCUCUCUGUCGUGAGAGAGGGCGAGCGAUUGUAUGGCACCAAAAGAGUGAGUGAAUGUUUGUGUUUCCUCCCGCCCUGCUUCCCUCUCUCAGCGCUGUGACUUAACAGGGGCUCCGGUUUGCCGAGCACUCACCACUCUCUGCUAAUCGCAGAGUUCCACUUUAAAAGGACCCAGCGAGUAGUCAAGCCUCGUCCUGACUCUCAUUUGUCACGGAGAUCACAUGGUGGUGCAUGAGUUAGGACCCUGUGGUGGCCGCGCAAUUACAGGGCUGGCGGAAGGGAGCGAAGCCAGCGCAUCCAGCGGCAAGGACGACUCCUCGGUGGCGGCACAGAACUAAACUUUCUCUUCCUGUCACAUUUUGAUGGACGGCCUGAGGGAAGAGGAGGAAUACUAUAUGGGAAGGCGGGGAGUUACUUACAGUCUAGAGGGGUUGUGUGUGUGUGUGUGUGUGUGUGUGUGUGUGUGUGUGUGUGUGUGUGUGUGUGUGUGUGUGUGUGUGUGUGUGUGCGCGUGCACGCAUACAGUACAAGCACAGCAGAUUUUGUUUUUGUCAUCAACCCUAUUUUUAAAUUAUUCUCAACCAAUUUAGUGUUGUAAAAAUACAGAUCCAACAAAUAAGUGUUGGCAACUUCUUCUGGAAAGACUUGCAUGGUGUUUUGAAAACUUUUAAAGCACAUUAUGUGAUUCUGCACCAGUCUAACCGCAGCCCAGUUUAGCUCCAAGUAUGGACUGUUUUUAUUCACUUCUCAUCCACAUAGUCUGUACACUGUCCUUUUUAGAAUGAGUUAGUGCUCUGUGAUAACUAUAUACUGUGUAAAUGCAUACUGUGCAAAUAUGCCACUGUUUUUCUAGAUCUCUUUUUUACCUCUAUAUGUCUCCUUUUCACUAAGAUGACACUUUAAUGGCAAAAUGCCACAACAGCAUGUGCAACAGUAGGCAACCUGUGAAAGUAGCUUGCCGUCACUGUCAGAAAAUGUAAAUCAAUCAAACCCGAAUAAACGUAUGAAAAGCUGUUUGUGUCUGCAAGUUUGUACUUGCACAGACUAUAUACACAUGCAUAUGUGGCUGUGUGGCGUGCACGCACAUACCUUUGUAGGGCCCCCAUCUGCUUAUGUGCGUGAGUGUGUAUGUGAUUGUGUAUAUAUAUGCCAUGGAAGAGUGAAAGCCCUGACCUUAGCCUCUGAGGCCAUGCCAGGUCAUUGGCCGCCAGCCUCUGAGUGGUGAGGCCGCACAGUGGGGAGCGCUGGGUCUGAGAGUGUAGACUGUAUGAAAGCAGAGAAGGAUAAAUGGAUGGUUUGGGGGAUGGAUGGAGGGAGGAGCAAAGAGAAAAUGGGUGACGAGGAUGAGACAAACCACAGCACAGAGGAACGAUGGAGUCAGGAAGGAGGGAGCCUGAUGGAGGAAGAGACAGAUUGUAGUGAAGACGGAGCGAAGGCAGCAGGAUGAGCUCCAUGCUGCUCAUUAGGUUUGGGUGUGUAUGGGAAUGGCAGUAAACAUGACAUUUCCCCUGCAGCCAGCGGAACGACUCCGGCAUCUAAUGACAGCCCUGCAGCACAAUGAGUAGUAAAGCUGCAGCCACCAGAGCUGUCGCCCCGCCCAAUUCUACCAACAGCCGCCACCAACCAGGAGCCCUCAUUUUGACUCGGAGCCCGAGCCGGGGAAGGGAAGAGGAUGUAGCCAGCAGCUUACAGAAGUGAGAUGCUGGCUUGGUGAAUACAGAACAGGAAUGGGCCUCAGAUAUUUCACCAGCUAGUAAGAAGAUACAAUCUAAUGUUAGUGUGAAUGCUAGCCAGCCGCAGUUCCAACUAUAUUAUCUUACCAGAUUGAACCUCUAACCUGAGAAGCACAUUCAAGUUUUUUUUUACACAUAAAUCCAGAAGUUGCAUAAAGCAGUUACAAGUUUAUCUGCUCAGACUUUUGUUUUGUGUUUGCCACCCUUCACUGAAAUGAAACUGGUGUCACUGAGGUGAUGCCAUAGUGUCCUAGCUGGCACUUAAAUCAAGCACAGUUCCGGGUGUGUAUCCUUGUUUUGUCAUGUAAUUAUUGUCUGGGAAAAUUUUAGUAGUAAAUGACAAGUUGACUAAUUUAUAGCCUGACUUCUGAGGAGAUUGUUUGCUUUUCUCAGAAGCUAGACAGUGUUAGGAAACAUUCAAAAUUGAUGCUAGACUUAGUCUAAGAAUAUUCUGCAGAGGAAUCAUGAAAAUAGAAUUAAACAAAACCUAAAACUAAUAUAUUGCAACCUCACAAAUCAGCUUCCUAGUCACUGGAAUUGCUCAAUACAGCAACGCACUGAGUUCUCAUUUGCAGUAUUUUCAUGCUUAUCCAUUUGUCAUAACCCAUUAACCCACAGCUGUUGUUUUACAAUAAAAACUCCCUUUGACAUUGGUUAUUGAAAGAGCUCCUGCCUCACUAGCAGGAUGGCAUCUGUUUCAAACUGAAGCCACAUUCAGGACCUGUUUAGCCUCACACUCUGUUCCAGCCUCUAUCCUCAACUCACCUUCUUUUUUCCGCCACUGGUGUUGAUUGUCCACCAUUUUCCACUGUCACUAUCUACCUUAAGCUUGGUGCACAUCUUCUCGCUGUUCUUAUUUUGGUAAGAGAAUGCUGUUUGAUUCACAAGAGGACAUGAGCCACUCGGUAAUAAACUCAUCGGGCAUGAGUCCAUGGUGUAAAACCAUAACAAAGAGACCCACCUGCCAACACGUCCUCCUGAGGUUGUAUUGAAAGAUUCAUGACACAUAUAACUGUUCUGUCCUCACUCGGGGCAUAUAAUUUCUCCCCUUGGAUGCAUCUAACUGAUCAUCUUCCUGCAGUUACCGAUGUACUUCCUGUGGCUCCACCACUGUCUUUAAAGUAACGUUUUUGCCCCUGUUGAGAUAUCCAAUUUUACUGACAUGAAAGGUGGCUUUCAUGGGUAAAUACGAUGACUGGUUGACUUUUGAGAAAAGGGUCAAACCACACGACGAGAGUGGAUGGUUCUGUCUCUUUAAAACCCAUCCAACAACCGGAAGCAACUGGGUUAAAAGCUACAGCCACAAUUACUAUGUAGAAGUCAGAGUGCGGUCACAGUCUCCUGUCAGAGAUGUAAAAAUGACUCUGUGUUAGUGUCUCACUUUUUCUUUUUUGUGUGUAAUUGGACCUCAGGCCGCGAGGUGAGUUGAAUGAGUUGGACAGUUGAGGUGUACGACCGGCCAUGAGUAGGUUGCAGUCUGACAACAGAAGCCAUUAUAUUUGCCCUUUUGCAUAGACUGAAUUCACUAAAUACAAUGAAGCGGAAAGAGAAACUAUAACCAAAAAUAGAAUAGAAAAUGUAGUCAAAUGUAAAACUGCUUGUGUUUUACUUUUUAUAUUAAUUGAGAAAAUGUAACUGUGUAUAUUUUUAUUUUUUUUCCUUUUCCUCUGUGACUGAAAUGCAGUGACUUCAUCUCGUCAUGCAAACUGCAUUACCUACUGUAGUAAGGCACCCGGUGCCACUUUGCUGUCCCAGACAUUACCACAUUUUGCCAUUUUUUUAACAUAUUGUCAUAUUAUGCACUGGCAUGCAGCACUAUUUCUAGCUAGUGGACUCUUUGCCAGUGACUGUCACAUGUGUUUAAGCAGCAGGCUUAUGGGACAGGUCUAUUAACUGGGUCAUGAGUUUUCCCUGGCCCCAGAGUCUGAAAUUCUAUCCCACGAUAUUGUAAAAACAGUGGCAGGCUCCUUUUGUGUCAGAAGCAUCUGAAGAAUGCACUCCUAAUGCAGUCAGAGUACUAUGAUGGGUCUCCCUUCAGAGAGAUGACCAGCAGGGAUAUCCGCGUGAUGCUGGUGUCACAGUGUAAAUUGGAAGUUGUGUGUGUGUGUGUGUGUGUGUGUGUGUGUGUGUGUGUGUGUGUGUGUGUGUGUGUGUGUGUGUGUGUGUGUGUGUGUGUGUGUGUGUGUGUGUGUGUGUGUGUGUGUGUGUGUGUGUGUGUGUGUGUGUGUGUGUGUGUGUUAGAU